rnacentral:rRNA from 1 species
UACGAAGGGGGCUAGCGUUGUUCGGAUUCACUGGGUUUAAAGGGUGCGUAGGAGGGCAGGUAAGUCAGUGGUGAAAUCUCCGAGCUUAACUUGGAAACUGCCGUGGAUACUAUCUGCCUUGAAUAUUGUGGAGGUGAGCGGAAUAUGUCAUGUAGCGGUGAAAUGCUUAGAUAUGACAUAGAACACCAAUUGCGAAGGCAGCUCGCUACACAUAUAUUGACUCUGAGGCACGAAAGCGUGGGGAUCAAACAGG